rnacentral:lncRNA from 1 species
CAGCAAGCAGCCAUCCUGGAACAAUGAGACAGGAAGGGCCCACCUCAACAGAAUCCUGUAGUUCUGAAAGUUGGCAAGUCCAAGAUCAUGAUGCUGGCAGAUUUGGAGUCUGGUGAAGGCCUGGUUCCUGGUUCCUGGUUCUUUCUGUGUUCCCACAUGGCAGAAGGGAAACAUAAGUACCCAUGAGUAUAAAUCUAAACAAGGCAAACGAUGGCACGGACACCUCAUCAGUCGGAAGGAGAAGAUGACUAACUGCCCAGAAACUCUCAUCAGUAGAAAACGCAAUGACUUAAAUCUACAUAACAACUUUACCCUUGUUUACUGUGCUGACCUCAUCUUAACAGAACGUUAAGACUAUUUUUCAGGGGUGGCCAGCCAGCCAGGAGUAUGCACAGAGAAGAGAAAAUUUUGAUCUGCCAAUUGAAACUCCUGCCAGAGCUUCUGCAUACCAGCCUACCCUCUCUAAUCCCUUAAACCCUACCCUAUACCCUGGAUCCGGGAGACAGGUUUGAGAGCAUGUCCUCCUAUCUCCUUGCCAAUCGAUUGCAUAAUAAACUUUCUUCCCUUAAA